GCAAUAUAGGUUUAGACGACUUUAAUGUCUACAAAUAAAAUAAAUAAACUGUGCUAUGUUGCAAUAUUGGAAAGUUGGGCGUUGGGAAUUCUCGUCAUUUAUAAAAGAUGAAGAAAAUUGUCGAUAGCUUAUCCUCUGUUCUCAUUUUGGCUUUGGUUGCCAAUGUCAGGUGCCACUGUUCUUGUAGGAUUAGUACACUUAAUCUGACCCACCACUCUCUGGACGGCAGCCGUGCUCAUACCAGAUUACUCCAUCCGAAUGUCUGUGUAUCCGAAAUUAAGCCAGUGGUACAAAAAUAUCAUCCUCUUCAAAUGAGGUCUGUGGAGUUGUUUGAACCAUGUUGUUGCCGAGCUUUCUGGAGAACACAGCGUGUGCUUCAAGGUUGGCGGACCAUCUACAUGAGUACAGCUUAUUAUUGCCAAAGCAUAUCAUGUCCUUACUAGGUUUGACAAGACAGUUGAAAAAAAUCAUAAGAAAGACAACAAAUGGUUUUAUUCGAAAGAACAUGUAUAAAUGUUUCAUCCUUCAUCUUUACAUAGGAACAGCCGGAUAUGUGUGCAAAAAAAAAUGCUUUGUCAGUUAAUGAAGUGAACCUAUAUUGUUCAUAAGAAAUGUAUCCAACAAUUUGUCAUGUAUACAUACGAUUUACUAGUCAAAUUCUGUUAUAAGCGUUACAUAAUAAUUAUUGAUAGGAAUUAACCUAGCUUUUGUGUUUUUGAUACAGUUUCUUUUUCUUCUUUUCUUUUCGUCCUUUCAUUAUAACUGUUAUUUCUGUAUCACAUGUUUAUAAAAACAUCUAAAUAAACAAGUAGGCUUCUUUUAAAAAAGAAACCUAGGAGAGGUCCAGUGUUGCUCCUUUUAAAGUUAUAUCAGACACAUAGAUAACAAUUGUUAUCUAAUUAUUGUCUCU